rnacentral:lncRNA from 1 species
CUCUAGGAUGGUCUCAGGUUAACUGUCAACCGAGAUUGCUUCAUCCACAUUGUAUUUCAACCUUUCAAAUCUAUCUCAUGGAUUAUCCUGGCCAAGGUUUUACUAAAUUAAAAUACAGUGAUAUAUCAACUUCAAUAAUUUGAAGGGGUCAAUCUCAUCUUAAUCCACACAUAGACUUUGCAAGUACUUGACUGCACCC